GGUCAGGAUAGCUCAGUUGGUAGAGCAGAGGACUG
rnacentral:tRNA from 2 species